rnacentral:rRNA from 1 species
GCAGUGGGGAAUCUUGCGCAAUGCACGAAAGUGUGACGCAGCAACGCCGCGUGCGGGAAGAAGGUCUUCGGAUCGUAAACCGCUUUCAGUUGGGACGAGGGUUGCACGGUGAAUAGCCGGCGUAACUGACGGUACCUUCAGAAGAAGCCCCGGCUAACUACGUGCCAGCAGCCGCGGUAAUACGUAGGGGGCAAGCGUUAUCCGGAAUCAUUGGGCGUAAAGCGCGUGUAGGCGGUUCAGUAAGUCCGCUCUGAAAGCCCAGGGCUCAACCCUGGGAGGCGGGUGGAUACUACUGGACUAGAGUACGGAAGAGGAGAUUGGAAUUCCUGGUGUAGCGGUGAAAUGCGCAGAUAUCAGGAGGAACACCAACAGCGAAGGCAGAUCUCUGGGACGUAACUGACGCUGAGACGCGAAAGCGUGGGGAGCAAACAGGAUUAGA